AACGUAGGAGGCGAGCGUUAUCCGGAUUUACUGGGUGUAAAGCGCGUGCAGGCGGUGGUGUAAGUGGGGCGUGAAAGCGCCCGGCUCAACCGGGCGAGGACGUGCCAGACUGCACAACUAGAGGGAGGUAGAGGCGUGUGGAAUUCCGGGUGUAGUGGUGAAAUGCGUAGAGAUCCGGAGGAACACCAGUGGCGAAGGCGACACGCUGGGCCUGACCUGACGCUAAGACGCGAAAGCAUGGGGAGCGAACGGG
rnacentral:rRNA from 1 species